rnacentral:tRNA from 2 species
UCCCUCGUAGCUCAAAGGCAGAGCUGCCCGCCAUGAUCGGGUGAAAGUGCUGGUUCGAAUCCAGUCGAGGGAACCA